rnacentral:rRNA from 1 species
UUGUGCCAGCAGCCGCGCUAAUUCCAGUUCCAAUAGCGUAUAUUAAAGUUGUUGUGGUUAAAAAGCUCGUAGUUGAACCUUGGGCCUGGCUGGCCGGUCCGCCUCACCGCGUGCACUGGUCCGGCCGGGCCUUUCCCUCUGUGGAACCCCAUACCCUUCACUGGGCGUGGCGGGGAAACAGGACAUUUACUUUGAAAAAAUUAGAGUGCUCCAGGCAGGCCUAUGCUCGAAUACAUUAGCAUGGAAUAAUAAAAUAGGACGCGCGGUUCUAUUUUGUUGGUUUAUAGGACCGCCGUAAUGAUUAAUAGGGACAGUCGGGGGCAUCAGUAUUCAACUGUCAGAGGUGAAAUUCUUGGAUCAGUUGAAGACUAACUACUGCGAAAGCAUUUGCCAAGGAUGUUUUCAUUAAUCAGGAACGAAAGUUAGGGGAUCGAAGACGAUCAGAUACCGUCGUAGUCUUAACCAUAAACUAUGCCGACUAGGGAUCGGACGGUGUUAUUCAUGACCCGUUCGGCACCUUACGAGAAAUCAAAGUGCUUGGGCUCCAGGGGGAGUAUGGUCGCAAGGCUGAAACUUAAAGAAAUUGACGGAAAGGGCCACCACCAGGGGUGGAAGCCUGCGGCUUAAUUUGACUCAACACGGGCAAACUUCACUAGGGUCCAGACACAAUAAGGAUUGACAGAAUUGAGAGCUCUUUCUUGAUUUUGUGGGUUGGGGGUGGCAUGGCCGUUCUUAAGUUGGUGGGUGACUUGUCUGCUUAAAUUGCGAUACGAAACGAAGACUUAAUCUUGCUAAAUAAGCCCGCAUGGUCCGGCAGUGCGCCUGGCUUCUUUAAGAGGGACUUUCGGGUCCAGACGAAGAAGUUGGAGGGCAUUAUAUGGUCUGUGAAUGCCCUAAAAUUGUUCUGGGGCGCAACGCGCGCCU